rnacentral:lncRNA from 1 species
UGGGAGUUUACCUGCACAAAACUCUUUUUUUGCCUGCUACCAUCCACGUUAGAUAUGACUUGCUCCUCCUUGCCUUCCAUCAUGAUUGUGAGGCCUGCCCAGACAUGUGGAACUGUGAUAUAAGUCUUUUGAGGUACAGCCUGGCACAAAAAGGAUGAGAUUUGUGGGCAGAAUUUUGGAAGAAUAUCUCCCGAGAGAACAUUCAGGACAGGGCCCUACAUCUCCCCGAGAAGAGGUGAAAGAGACUGCUCCUAUCUGCUUCUGCAUCAAACUUCAGGCUCAAGACCUGUCCAGAAAAAAAAAUGUCUUCUUUCAGGGAUGAACUGCUGUCCUCAUCAGACGCCUUAUUUUGUUUAGAAUUCAAGCUCACUUGACAGGUUAUUGUGAAGAUUAAAUGAAUUAAUACAUGUGAAGCAACUGUAACAACUCUUGACAUGCGGACUUGAACACACUUGACCAGAGACUCUGGAGAAGAAUUUUGCCUUUACUUAAUAAUGCAAGAUCAUCAUUAUGGACAUCAAUUAUUGAACUGUGCUAUAGUGGGCUGGACUUCCAGAAGAAACGUUGUCAGAACUCUGCCCAACUGAAAACAAGCCUACUAAAAAUAAAUAAAUAAAUAAAAUUUUAAAAAAUUGAUUAAUUAAAAGAUCCCAUUGAGGAUGCCACAUUAUGUUUUUUCUUGGUUUUGAAGACGUUGACAAUUUUCUUCCAUUGGGAUUUGCUUGAUGCUUUUCUCAUGAUUACACUGGAACUGUGACUUUUUAGAAGGAAGAUCAUAGAGGAGAAGAAACUGAGGUUCAAGGACUAGUAACCAGCAGCAGAUCACACAGCUGGAAGACAACUAAGAGCAAAAAAACGGGCACAAUUAAAGUGCUAAGAAAUCACUGCAGACAGAGAACCU